rnacentral:rRNA from 1 species
AUGAGCUGGAAGGGGAACCACCCCUGUGACGGGUGGCUCGGUGUCCACUGCGACAAGAGCGGCUCCAUCACCGGUGUCAACCUUUGCCGCCUUGGGCUCAACGGCGCUAUCCACCCCGCUUUCGGUGACUUCAAGUCUCUCGUGGCGCUUCUUCUUGCAGGCAACAACAUCACCGGCGUUGUACCGCGUUCAAUUGCGGGAUUGCCGUCUCUCAGGGUCUUGGACGUCUCCCACAACUCUUUGGAGGGCACCAUGCCACGAUUCCGAAGCACCACGACGAUCUGGGCUGAAGGCAACCCGAACCUCACCGUCUCAGGCACCUCCCAGGCGUGCAUCUCGAGCUUCGUUGUGGCCGCCAUGACGGUCAUUGUUGUUCUGUUUGUUUGA